GGGGAUAUAGCUCAGUAGGUAGAGUGCUUGCCUUACAGGCACAAGGCCUGGGUUCAAUCCCCAGCACCACCA
rnacentral:tRNA from 1 species